UACGUAGGGGGCAAGCGUUGUCCGGAUUUAUUGGGCGUAAAGAGCGUGUAGGCGGUUAGGUAGGUCCGUUGUGAAAACUCGAGGCUCAACCUCGAGACGCCGAUGGAAACCAUCUAACUAGAGUCCGGAAGAGGAGAAUGGAAUUCCUGGUGUAGCGGUGAAAUGCGCAGAUAUCAGGAAGAACACCCGUGGCUAAGGCGGUUCUCUGGGACGGUACUGACGCUGAGACGCGAAAGCGUGGGGAGCGAACAGG
rnacentral:rRNA from 1 species